UACGUAGGUGACAAGCGUUGUCCGGAUUUAUUGGGCGUAAAGAGCUCGUAGGCGGUUCAGUAAGUCGGGUGUGAAACCUCCAGGCUCAACCUGGAGACGCCACCCGAUACUGCUGUGACUGGAGUCCGGUAGGGGAGCGUGGAAUUCCUGGUGUAGCGGUGAAAUGCGCAGAUAUCAGGAGGAACACCAGCGGCGAAGGCGGCGCUCUGGGCCGGAACUGACGCUGAGGAGCGAAAGCGUGGGUAGCAAACAGG
rnacentral:rRNA from 1 species